GAUGAACGCUGGCGGCGUGCUUAACACAUGCAAGUCGAGCGAGAAAUUUUAGACGGAUUCUUCGGAUGAAGGAAGAAAUGGAAAGCGGCGGACGGGUGAGUAACGCGUAGGCAACCUGCCUCAUACAAAGGGAUAGCUUCUGGAAACGGAAUUAAUACCUUAUGAUACCUUCGGUUCACAUGAACUCUAGGUCAAAGAUUUAUCGGUAUGAGAUGGGCCUGCGUCUGAUUAGCUAGUUGGUAGGGUAACGGCCUACCAAGGCGACGAUCAGUAGCCGACCUGAGAGGGUGAUCGGCCACACUGGAACUGAGACACGGUCCAGACUCCUACGGGAGGCAG
rnacentral:rRNA from 1 species